rnacentral:rRNA from 1 species
UACGUAGGGUGCGAGCGUUGUCCGGAAUUAUUGGGCGUAAAGAGCUCGUAGGCGGUGUGUCACGUCGGCCGUGAAAACUUGGGGCUUAACCCCAAGCCUGCGGUCGAUACGGGCAGACUUGAGUUCGGCAGGGGAGACUGGAAUUCCUGGUGUAGCGGUGAAAUGCGCAGAUAUCAGGAGGAACACCGGUGGCGAAGGCGGGUCUCUGGGCCGAUACUGACGCUGAGGAGCGAAAGCGUGGGGAGCGAACAGG